rnacentral:rRNA from 1 species
GAACUUCCGUUAAUUGAUUAUGACGUACUUGUACUGAUUGAGAUUUUAACACGAAGUGAGUGGCGAACGGGUGAGUAACACGUGGGUAACCUGCCCAGAAGUAGGGGAUAACACCUGGAAACAGAUGCUAAUACCGUAUAACAGAGAAAACCGCAUGGUUUUCUUUUAAAAGAUGGCUCUGCUAUCACUUCUGGAUGGACCCGCGGCGUAUUAGCUAGUUGGUGAGGUAAAGGCUCACCAAGGCAGUGAUACGUAGCCGACCUGAGAGGGUAAUCGGCCACAUUGGGACUGAGACACGGCCCAGACUCCUACGGGAGGCAGCAGUAGGGAAUCUUCCACAAUGGACGCAAGUCUGAUGGAGCAACGCCGCGUGAGUGAAGAAGGGUUUCGGCUCGUAAAGCUCUGUUGUUAAAGAAGAACGUGGGUAAGAGUAACUGUUUACCCAGUGACGGUAUUUAACCAGAAAGCCACGGCUAACUACGUGCCAGCAGCCGCGGUAAUACGUAGGUGGCAAGCGUUAUCCGGAUUUAUUGGGCGUAAAGCGAGCGCAGGCGGUCUUUUAAGUCUAAUGUGAAAGCCUUCGGCUCAACCGAAGAAGUGCAUUGGAAACUGGGAGACUUGAGUGCAGAAGAGGACAGUGGAACUCCAUGUGUA